UACGUAGGAUGCAAGCGUUGUCCGGAAUUAUUGGGCGUAAAGAGCGCGCAGGCGGUAUGACAAGUCAGAUGUGAAAGAGGCCGGCUUAACCGGCAAGGGUCAUUUGAAACUGUCAGACUAGAGUGCAGCAGAGGAUAGUGGAAUUCCGGGUGGAGCGGUGAAAUGCGUAGAGAUCCGGAGGAACACCGACGGCGUAGGCAGCGCCCUGGCUGUGAAUAAAGCUGACACUGAGGCACGAAAGCUGGGGGAGCAAACAGG
rnacentral:rRNA from 1 species